rnacentral:rRNA from 1 species
CCUACGGGCGGCAGCAGUGAGGAAUAUUGGUCAAUGGGGGAAACCCUGAAGCAGCAACGCCGCGUGGAGGAUGAAGGUUUUCGGAUUGUAAACUCCCUUUGUUAGAGAAGAUAAUGACGGUACCUAACGCAUAAGCACCGGCUAACCCCGUGCCAGCAGCCGCGGUAAUACGGAGGGUGCAAGCGUUACUCGGAAUCACUGGGCGUAAAGAGCGCGUAGGCGGGAUAGCAAGUCAGCUGUGAAAUCCUCUGGCUUAACCAUAGACCUGCGUUGGAAACUGUAUUCUAGAGUAUGGGAGAGGUAGGUGGAAUUCUUGGUGUAGGGGUGAAAUCCAUAGAGAUCAAGAAGAAUUCUCAUUGCGAAGGCGACCUGCUGGAGCGUAACUGACGCUGAUGCGCGAAAGCGUGGGGAGCGAACAGGAUUAGAUACCCGGGUAGUC